GCCCAAUUUCGCACGUGCCUGUGGUCGCGUGCCAGUCGGUGGGCAUCCGGACAAGAGGCCGGACAGCCGCCCGAAGCGCCAGCGCUUCGAACACUUGACUGGCAGCCGGAGGCGAAACCGGCGCACUCCGCUCUCCGCGGGGGACGCGGCUUAAAGCAACGACGGAACGGGCUUUU
rnacentral:sRNA from 2 species